rnacentral:snRNA from 1 species
AAAUUUGAAACAAUACAGAAAAGACUAGCACAGCCUCUGAAUAAGCACAUGCAAACUUGUGAAGCAUUCCACGUUUUU